rnacentral:tRNA from 1 species
GCGGGGGUUCCCGAGUCAGGUCAAAGGGGCAGGACUUAAGAUCCUGUGGCACAGGCCUUCGUGGGUUCGAAUCCCACCCCCCGCACCA